rnacentral:rRNA from 1 species
UACGUAGGCAGCAAGCGUUGUUCGGAGUUACUGGGCGUAAAGGGUGUGUAGGCGGUUCUUUAAGUUUGCUGUGAAAUCUCCCGGCUUAACCGGGAGGGUGCGGUGAAUACUGAGGGACUAGAGUACGGGAGAGGAAAGUGGAAUUCCUGGUGUAGCGGUGAAAUGCGCAGAUAUCAGGAGGAACACCAAUGGCGAAGGCAGCACUCUGGGACGUGACUGACGCUGAGACGCGAAAGCGUGGGGAGCAAACAGG